GGGAAUGGGCAGCAUUUCAAUUCUAAUUGUCGACAGUCGUCGUCAUUGGCGUCAUCAUCCAUUGGCUUCUCGGCUGUCGUUUGGCAUUUGUCGUUGGGGUGUGAGAUUUAAGUCGAUUUUGGUUUUACUUAUUGUCGCCACGAUAUGUGUGGCCCCUUUCCACUCAAUCUGUACUCCUCUCAAUUGGUAGCCUUCGAUCUACA
rnacentral:lncRNA from 1 species